rfam:Parcubacteria (Falkowbacteria) bacterium GW2011_GWE1_38_31 TS91_C0004, whole genome shotgun sequence.
GCUCUCGUAGUUCAAUGGAUAGAACGCAGGAUUGCGGAUCCUGUAAUCUAGGUUCGAUUCUUAGCGGGAGCA